UCAGCUCUGCAUUCCCUCAGUUUCAUUUUUUUCACAAUCUUAGUUUAGAUUUUUAUCUAGCCACUUGCGUCUCUGCUUCAAAUGGAUAUAUUUUCAAUGAUUUUAUGCGGCGUAUCUGCAGAGGAGCUCGAAGGUUUUCUUCUCGACUGAUUCAUUCAACUCGGCCCCGGAAAUUGAGGAUGCCGAUUUCCUUUCAAAGAGGCCGGAGUUACAGCUCCAGGGCGUUGAUCCCAGGAAAGGCUGGAAUUUCCGCGGCGUGCACCGUGCUAUUAUAUGCGGAAAAGUUGGUCAAGCCCCCAUCCAGAAGAUCUUGAGGAAUGGUAGAACUGUAACCACGUUCACUGUAGGAACUGGAGGUAUGUUUGAUCAGAGAACCAUAGGUUCGCAUGACUUGCCAAAACCAGCUCAAUGGCAUCGUAUUGCAGUUCAUAACCCUAUGCUUGCAGCCUAUGCAGUGCAACAAGUUGUGAAAAAAUUCUUCAGUUUACGUUGAGGGUGAUAUUGAAAUGAGAGUCUACAAUGACAGCAUCAAUGGAGACGUAAAAAGCAUACCAGAAAUUUGUGUGUGCCGUGAUGGAAGGGUUCGGCUUAUAAAAGCAGGGGAAAGCAUGGACAGUAGUAUUUCCAUUGAUGAGCUACGUGAAGGAUUAUAUUAGUGAUGUCCAAUAGCAAGUGCCAUCAACAAAGUCUUGGCCAGUGUCUUGAAUACACGUUUCUCCUUUCUAUUGAUAUUUUUCUUAAAUUUUUAGCUUGUAGCUGUUCGAACUUAGAUUGAUAUAAUUCAUAGUAUUUGGCAGAU